GAUGAACGCUGGCGGCGUGCCUAUACAUGCAAGUCGAGCGAACGGACGAGAAGCUUGCUUUUCUGAUGUUAGCGGCGGACGGGUGAGUAACACGUGGAUAACCUACCUAUAAGACUGGGAUAACUUCGGGAAACCGGAGCUAAUACCGGAUAAUAUUUUGAACCGCAUGGUUCAAAAGUGAAAGACGGUCUUGCUGUCACUUAUAGAUGGAUCCGCGCUGCAUUAGCUAGUUGGUAAGGUAACGGCUUACCAAGGCAACGAUGCAUAGCCGACCUGAGAGGGUGAUCGGCCACACUGGAACUGAGACACGGUCCAGACUCCUACGGGAGGCAGCAGUAGGGAAUCUUCCGCAAUGGGCGAAAGCCUGACGGAGCAACGCCGCGUGAGUGAUGAAGGUCUUCGGAUCGUAAAACUCUGUUAUUAGGGAAGAACAUAUGUGUAAGUAACUGUGCACAUCUUGACGGUACCUAAUCAGAAAGCCACGGCUAACUACGUG
rnacentral:rRNA from 1 species